GACGAACGCUGGCGGCGUGCCUAAUACAUGCAAGUCGAGCGAAGUUUUUCUGGUGCUUGCACUAGAAAAACUUAGCGGCGAACGGGUGAGUAACACGUAAAGAACCUGCCUCAUAGACUGGGACAACUAUUGGAAACGAUAGCUAAUACCGGAUAACAGCGUUAACUGCAUGGUUGAUGUUUGAAAGUUGGUUAUGCUAACACUAUGAGAUGGCUUUGCGGUGCAUUAGCUAGUUGGUGGGGUAAAGGCCCACCAAGGCGACGAUGCAUAGCCGACCUGAGAGGGUGAUCGGCCACACUGGGACUGAGACACGGCCCAGACUCCUACGGGAGGCAGCAGUAGGGAAUCUUCCGCAAUGGGCGAAAGCCUGACGGAGCAACGCCGCGUGAGUGAAGAAGGAUUUCGGUUCGUAAAGCUCUGUUGUUAGGGAAGAAUGGAUAUGUAGUAACUAUACAUGUAAGAGACG
rnacentral:rRNA from 1 species